AGAAAAUUAUUGUUAUUCCUUUCUGUCUUUUCUUCUAUUGUUGUUGUUGGUAGUAUUGGUGGAUUGUGAGAAGGAGUCUGUGGGUUGCGUCUGGUGGUGAGAGAUGAAGGUAGAGAUGUGGGUGAAUGGGUGCGUAUGGUGGUGGGUGGGUGAGGUUCAGUGGGUCUGGUGCAUAUGAAGUAAUUAACAUCCCCCUUGAACUUUUGUGAUGGAAUAUUAUUUUUAAUUUCUAGAGGUGGUGGCAAAGCUUCCACAUCUU